rnacentral:rRNA from 1 species
GUGAGGAAUUUUGCGCAAUGGGGGAAACCCUGACGCAGCAACGCCGCGUGAGUGAAGAAGGCCUUCGGGUUGUAAAGCUCUGUCAAGUGGGAAAAACAUCCUACAGUGAAUAGCUGUGGGAUUUGAUGGUACUGCUAAAGGAAGCACCGGCUAACUCCGUGCCAGCAGCCGCGGUAAUACGGAGGGUGCAAGCGUUGUUCGGAAUUACUGGGCGUAAAGGGCGUGUAGGUGGUAGGGUGUGUCAGAUGUGAAAGCCCUGGGCUCAACCCAGGAAGUGCAUUUGAAACUACUCUACUUGAGUAUGGGAGAGGAGAGUGGAAUUCCCAGUGUAGAGGUGAAAUUCGUAGAUAUUGGGAGGAACACCCGUGGCGAAGGCGGCUCUCUGGACCAAUACUGACACUGAGACGCGAAAGCGUGGGGAGCAAACAGGAUUAGAAACCCCAGUAGUCC